UAAUGAUUUCAGUGGCGCACGGGUGAGUAACACGUGAAUUACAUGCCCUUCAGUGGGGAAUAGCCCAGGAAGACUUGGAUUAAUACCCCAUGGUAUCGCAAGAUUAAAGGUGGCCGCAAGGCUGCCGCUGAAGGAUUGGUUCGCGCCCUAUCAGCUUGUUGGUGAGGUAACGGCUCACCAAGGCUACGACGGGUACCUGGUCUGAGAGGACGAUCAGGCACACUGGAACUGAGACACGGUCCAGACACCUACGGGUGGCAGCAGUCGAGAAUAAUUCACAAUGGGGGCAACCCUGAUGGUGCAACGCCGCGUGGAGGAUGACGGUCUUCGGAUUGUAAACUCCUGUCAUCCGGGAGAAAGACCUGGGAGUUAAUAGCUCACAGGGUUGAUAGUACCGGAAGAGGAAGGGACGGCUAACUUCGUGCCAGCAGCCGCGGUAAUACGAAGGUCCCAAGCGUUGUUCGGAAUCACUGGGCGUAAAGGGAGCGUAGGC
rnacentral:rRNA from 1 species